rnacentral:rRNA from 1 species
AUAUAUUGGGUAACGUGCCCUAGAGAAGAGGAUAACAUUUGGAAACGAAUGCUAAUACUCUAUAUGCCUUUAAGUCAUAAUACUGCAAGGGAAAUAUUUAUAUCUCUAGGAUCGGCCUGUACGGAAUCAGCUUGUUGGUGAGGUAAUGGCUCACCAAGGCAAUGACACCUAACUGGUUUGAGAGGAUGAUCAGUCACUCUGGAACUGAGACACGGUCCAGACUCCUACGGGAGGCAGCAGUGGGGAAUUUUGCACAAUGGACGAAAGUCUGAUGCAGCAACUCCGCGUGGAGGAUGACACAUUUCGGUGCGUAAACUCCUUUUAUAUAGGAAGAUAAUGACGGUACUAUAUGUAUAAUCGCCGGCUUAACUCCUUGCCAGCAGCCGCGUGUAAUACGGAGGGUUCUGCGU